CCUACGGGAGGCAGCAGUGGGGAAUUUUGGACAAUGGGCGCAAGCCUGAUCCAGCAAUGCCGCGUGAGUGAAGAAGGCCUUCGGGUUGUAAAGCUCUUUUGUCAGGGAAGAAACGGUGGGGGCUAAUAUCUCCCACUAAUGACGGUACCUGAAGAAUAAGCACCGGCUAACUACGUGCCAGCAGCCGCGGUAAUACGUAGGGUGCAAGCGUUAAUCGGAAUUACUGGGCGUAAAGCGUGCGCAGGCGGUUUUGUAAGUUUGUCGUGAAAUCCCCGGGCUCAACCUGGGAAUGGCGAUGAAGACUGCAAGGCUAGAAUCUGGCAGAGGGGGGUAGAAUUCCACGUGUAGCAGUGAAAUGCGUAGAGAUGUGGAGGAACACCGAUGGCGAAGGCAGCCCCCUGGGUCAAGAUUGACGCUCAUGCACGAAAGCGUGGGGAGCAAACAGGAUUAGAUACCCUGGUAGUCCACGCCCUAAACGAUGUCUACUAGUUGUCGGGUUUUAAUUAACUUGGUAACGCAGCUAACGCGUGAAGUAGACCGCCUGGGGAGUACGGUCGCAAGNUUAAAACNCAAAUGAAUUGACGG
rnacentral:rRNA from 1 species